GAAGGCGGAGCCACCAUCUUAGUCACCACAGAAUGUUCAGCACCUGUGUCGAUCAUGAAAGAACUUCUCUUUCCCCCUAUUGCUACAUCGACCAUAGGCUCCGCUCGACCAAGUGGGAUGGAGCCCAGUCGGUAUCAAUAGUCUUCCAUGAUAGUGUCAGCCAGACCCGCAAAAUCUCUAUCCUCUCUAGGUCUCUGCGUGGGUGGAUAGUAUCUGUCUCCUUGAACACUUCCUCUACUAUUCCCACCAUUCCCUCUAAAACUUCCUCUUCCUCUAUAACUACCACUAUAACCUCCUCGUACCCUUCUCUCUCCUUGUCUAUCACCUUCAUACUGCUCUCUCUGUGGACACUCACUCUUCCAAUGUCCCUCCUUUCUACAAUACGCACAUUAAUUCCUACUUAAAGUCCCUUGUUCAGCCUAUUCUCGUCUCCUCUAUUCACUUCCCUGUCUUUCUACACUUAGAUAGCUACCGCUAGCAUAUCUGCCUUUUUCCUCAUUUUACGUUCUUCCUCCGUCUCCCUAUUCAUAUAUACUGUAUUUGCAAUCUCCAUUAGCUGUAUUAUGGACAUCCCUACAAAUCCCUCUAAUUUCUGUAAUUUCCUUUUACUAUCACCUUGGGCCUGGCUGACAAAUGCUGAGUCUAUCAUUCGGAAGUUUUCAGGGGCCUCUGGAUUAAAGGGAGUAUACAACCUAUUUGACUCAAGCAGUGUCUAAUAUGGGACUUCGGCAAAGAUGCCCAAUAAUAGGUUCCAGUCUAGGAGUAGUAAGAUAAGUGUAAGGGGGUGAGCUAAUUUUAUUAGUCAGCAUUUGGUGGAUAAAAAAACGUUUGUUUUUUUAAAGUGUUAAACCAAAAACCUACCAGUAGGUGUCACCAGAGGGUAAUUGUAUCAAAAUAAUCUUUAUGGGUCUAAUAAGAAAACUCAAC